rnacentral:rRNA from 1 species
AGAGUUUGAUCCUGGCUCAGGACGAACGCUGGCGGCGUGCUUAACACAUGCAAGUCGAGCGGAAAGGCCCUUCGGGGUACUCGAGCGGCGAACGGGUGAGUAACACGUGAGUAACCUGCCCUAGGCUUUGGGAUAACCCUCGGAAACGGGGGCUAAUACUGGAUAUUCCCGCGGGAUCGCAUGGUUUUGUGGGGAAAGGUUUUCCGGCUUGGGAUGGGCUCGCGGCCUAUCAGCUUGUUGGUGGGGUGAUGGCCUACCAAGGCGACGACGGGUAGCCGGCCUGAGAGGGCGACCGGCCACACUGGGACUGAGACACGGCCCAGACUCCUACGGGAGGCAGCAGUGGGGAAUAUUGCACAAUGGGCGGAAGCCUGAUGCAGCGACGCCGCGUGAGGGAUGACGGCCUUCGGGUUGUAAACCUCUUUCAGCCCUGACGAAGCGCAAGUGACGGUAGGGGCAGAAGAAGCGCCGGCCAACUACGUGCCAGCAGCCGCGGUAAGACGUAGGGCGCGAGCGUUGUCCGGAUUUAUUGGGCGUAAAGAGCUCGUAGGCGGCUUGUCGCGUCGGCUGUGAAAUCCCGUGGCUCAACUGCGGGCUUGCAGCCGAUACGGGCAGGCUAGAGUUCGGUAGGGGAGACUGGAAUUCCUGGUGUAGCGGUGAAAUGCGCAGAUAUCAGGAGGAACACCGGUGGCGAAGGCGGGUCUCUGGGCCGAUACUGACGCUGAGGAGCGAAAGCGUGGGGAGCGAACAGGAUUAGAUACCCUAGUAGUCC